rnacentral:rRNA from 1 species
UGACGAGUGGCGGACGGGGGAGUAAUGCUUGGGAAUCUAGCUUAUGGAGGGGGAUAACUACGGGAAACUGUAGCUAAUACCGCGUAAUAUCGGAAGAUUAAAGUGUGGGACCUUCGGGCCACAUGCCGUAGGAUGAGCCCAAGUGGGAUUAGGUAGUUGGUGGGGUAAAGGCCUACCAAGCCGACGAUCUCUAGCUGGUCUGAGAGGAUGACCAGCCACACCGGGACUGAGACACGGCCCGG